UACGUAGGGGGCAAGCGUUGUCCGGAUUCAUUGGGCGUAAAGAGCGUGUAGGCGGCCAGAAAAGUCCGCUGUGAAAACUCGAGGCUCAACUUCGAGCUGUCGGUGGAAACUUUCUGGCUAGAGUCCGGAAGAGGAGAAUGGAAUUCCUGGUGUAGCGGUGAAAUGCGCAGAUAUCAGGAAGAACACCCGUGGCGAAGGCGGUUCUCUGGGACGGUACUGACGCUGAGACGCGAAAGCGUGGGGAGCGAACAGG
rnacentral:rRNA from 1 species